rnacentral:rRNA from 1 species
UACAGAGGUCUCAAGCGUUGUUCGGAUUCAUUGGGCGUAAAGGGUGUGUAGGUGGCGCGCUAAGUCGGGUGUGAAAUUUCGGAGCUUAACUCCGAAACUGCAUUCGAUACUGGCGUGCUUGAGGAUUGCAGAGGAGACUGGAAUUCCCGGUGUAGCGGUGAAAUGUGUAGAGAUCGGGAGGAACACCGGUGGCGAAGGCGGGUCUCUGGGCAAUUCCUGACGCUGAGGCGCGAAAGCGUGGGGAGCAAACGGG